rnacentral:lncRNA from 1 species
CCCUGGUCCUGCUGGCCACACUAUUCCUGAUACAAGCCAAGAUGCCGUUGGCCUUCUUGGCCACCUAGGCACACUGCCACUUCACAUUAAGGCAAGCAUCUAUUAGCACCCCCAGAUCCUUUUCCUCUGCCCUGCUUUCGAGCCACUCUCCCACAAGACAUCUGAAAAGAGUUGAGAGAAGGAGUUAAUGUAAAGAGUAGUUUAAGAGAGGUAGGCAACCUUAACAUGCUACACAUUGCAGCAGAGAAAAGAAUAUAUUUUUCUCCCUUUCUGAUGUGGAAAAUAUAAGUACAAAGAUUUAAUUUGAAUGUUUGAGAGACUCAAACCAGACGCUACAGAGAAUUUGCCAACAAAGUCAGUCAUCCUGAGUAAAAAGGAGUGAUAUAUUUACGCAAAAAAAUCUGUUGCAGGGAUGGAGAUAAUACUAUGUGCUGAUGAAGCAACUUGUUAUCUUUGGAGGAAAAAAGAUUCAGGAAUUUAACAGUCUAUCACUGGACCAGGAAGAAACUGUACCAGAUAAGAAGACACAAAGAAUAAAUCACAAAAACUAUAUGGACUGUAGACAUCUAUGAGGGAUUUCUGAGGACUCCAUCAUUUCCUUUCAUUGUCAGUUAUAAUUAUGAUAAGUUUUGCUGAAUUGAAAUGGAUACAAAUAUAGUUAAUGAAUCUCCAACAUGUUCAUGGAUAACUAAUGUUAGAGUAGCUGAAUUGAUAUGGUGCACAAGAGUAUUUAACAGCUGAUUAUUUUCUUUGUCUGAAGUAAACAUUUUGUUAAAGCAGGAUAUGAAACAUAUAUCCUUAGCUCUCAAAUUUGGGAUUCCAGCAUAGUAGAGUUUACUGAAACAUUUGGGGUCUUCUUUAUUGCAUAACUGAACCUCACUGUUCUUAUUAAUAGCCAAGAGUCUCUCAAGCUGAUGUUCUUCACAGCAACAAAUGGACUUUGGCGUUUAAAAAGGUUACUAAAGCUAACCUUUGGUCCAUCAGUUCUUCCUUUGUGAUAGCAAACAAAAAUAUUUAAAGCUCAAAUCAAAUCAAAUCAAUUAAGCAAAUAAAGAACCUGAAGGUCAGGAAGUGGCCCCGAUU